rfam:Pristionchus pacificus strain PS312 contig10352, whole genome shotgun sequence.
UCUUCAUUCCUUGCACUCUCUCACCGGUCAGAGAGCCGAGAGAGUAUGCGGAAUGAAGAGA